rnacentral:misc_RNA from 1 species
UUUCGGGCACGCUCACCUCCUGUAGCAUUACCCACAAUCCAUCGACUAUGUAUCCCAGCAUAGAUAGAUACCCCUCGGAACAUAGCAAAUGCAACAUAGAACUUCCAUACGUUGGCUGGCCAUAGUGUUCCAGAUGCACAGCAGUAUUCCGCCAGAUACUCUGCCUGUGAAGGAAUCCCUUCCGGAACUCCAGUAAGUUCAAAGCCUUUUUCCAAUUGUUGAUUAUCAAGGUUAACAUCGACAAUAUAAGCCAAACAGCUGUAUGCAACAUCACUCAUCUGAUUACCAAGAGUGGACAAUUCCCAGUCAAGAACAC